UUGCCUACGGGGGGCAGCAGUGAGGAAUAUUGCGCAAUGGGCGAAAGCCUGACGCAGCAACGCCGCGUGUAGGAUGAAAUCCUUCGGGAUGUAAACUACUGUUAGAGGGGAAGAAAUCCCGGUUACGCCGGGAGUGACGGUACCCUCAGAGAAAGCCACGGCUAACUCUGUGCCAGCAGCCGCGGUAAUACAGGGGUGGCAAGCGUUGUCCGGAAUUACUGGGUGUAAAGGGUGCGUAGGCGGGUCGGUAAGUCAGUGGUCAAAUCCUAUAGCUUAACUAUAGACUAUCCAUUGAUACUGCUGAUCUUGAGUGCGAGAGAGAUGAGUGGAAUUCCAAGUGUAGCGGUGAAAUGCGUAGAGAUUUGGAAGAACACCAGUAGCGAAGGCGGCUCAUUAGCUCGUAACUGACGCUGAGGCACGAAAGCAUGGGUAGCAAACAGGAUUAGAUACCCCAGUAGUCUAU
rnacentral:rRNA from 1 species